rnacentral:tRNA from 1 species
GGUGGCUCAGUGGUAGAGCACUUGCUUUGCAUGCAUGAAGUCCUGGGUUCAAUUCCUCAGUACCA